GAUGAAGAACGUAGCGAAAUGCGAUAAUUAAUGUGAAUUGCAGAAUUCCGUGAAUCAUCGAGUCUUUGAACGCACAUUGCGCCUCAUGGCAUUCCGUGAGGCAUGCCCAUCUCAGCGUUAGAAAAUAUUCUCAAAUUUUAGUUUUGUGCUAAAAUUUGGAUCAUGUCAAGGAAGCUAUUACUAUUAUUGUGAUCGCUCUUUGGAAAUUGAUAGGUCUUUGAGUUGCUACUCAUAGAACGUGAUGAAUCUUUCUUCGUUAUAUUGUAAUUCACUCUGGUAGUCCUAAAACUUGUAUGCCUGUGGCAUAUCUUGUAAUUUGACCUGAGAUUGGGUAGGGAUACCCGCUGAACUUAAGCAUAUCAAUAAGCGGAGGA
rnacentral:misc_RNA from 1 species